CAACGCGUGACCUCACUGCGUCAAUGAGGGGGCUGGACGUGUCGCCCUGAGCCGUCCAAAAAACCUCCCCUCCCCCUGCCCUCCUCCCGGCUGCGGCUGCUGUGGAGGUAGUAGCGGGGUGCCGCCGCUGCCGUCGUGACGUCACGGGCGUCUUGGGCGCUGCUGCGGGGGCUGUGGGGGUAGUAGUAGUAGCUACUGCUGCCUCCACGGCUCCACGACAGCUGCAUCCGAGACGCCCGUGACGUCACUGCUGUAGUGGUGGCAGUCUGCUACUACCUCCACAGUUGCCACAGCUUCUAGCUAACUUUGUAUGAAAUCAAGUAAAAUGUCAGAUGUAGUCAUUUUUUAAAUUCUUUAUUGUUUCAAAUCAUUUACAUUAUAAGAGUUAGUCUUCCUCUAGUAGCCGGCUCCUUUCUGCUGGUUGCUGGUGACUUGAGGUGGCCAGCAUCAAGUCCAGGCACAUCCCUUUGGACAAGAAGCAGCAUCACUUCCUAAUUUACUACGACUGUACCAUACAAAUGAAAUAAAUAGUAGCAUUACUGU